UCUCUUCCAACUAUGACAAGUCUGUGAUUCUGAGGAAGCUGACAACAAGCAACAAGGUGUUUUCUUUGCCUCUGACUGGAGUGCUAACAAAACUGAAGUUGAUGGCCUGAUUGAAUAACCCUCCAGCCAUAACAGCCUGCAGCUUAUUUUCACCUUCAAAGAUGCUUUUUUACCAGGGAAGAGACAGGAGGGAGGUUGUCACAUCAGGUCCUGAUGCUGUCAUGUUGCAAUGGCCAUUGCAUGUCAGAAAGUCUAUUUAAUUCCCUUCUGCUUCUGCCAGACUUCUGAGUUUUACAGGGAGGAAAUGAGGCUCUGCUGCCUCUGCUACAGUCCACAGAACUUUUCCCAGAAGCAGGAAAAAACAGACAUUUGGGGAAGUUUGGAGAGCAUUACAGCCCACUGAAUUUCAACAGCCCAAGAGGGAAUAUGCUGUAAGCUGCACCAAAGAGUAGUGGAGGACGAGGAGCCCUCAGCCAUGGGAGGCUUUCUGGAGCCAGACACAGACCUCAGGCAAUGUGCUCAGCCCUGCUGCCCUGACUCCUCAGUAAAUGAUGCGUGGAUGAGCUUAACUUGAUGGGAUCCAGCCCAGGAUCCAGCCCAGGAUCUGGCAUGGAAGUUCUUGGACCAUCACCUUCCUCCAUCCUCCCAGCACCUCACCUGGAAGAUCCUCACUUCUCACAGCAGACAAUUCCUCAGAGAUGUCCAGGUCUCUCCACCAACUGUAGCAAAAGCCAAGAUGAUAGAUUGAGGACUGUAGAGUUUAGGUGCUUUUUAAGAUGGCUAAACUAGAAUAUAAUGAAUGCCA